ACCACCCCAAAAAGAAGGAUAAAAGAAAACUGGAAAUAUUAUAUUAGCAAAUUGUACAAAACAAUAUAUAAAAAUAAAAUCAGCCCUUUAUUCAGUUCAAUAUUACCACAAAUUAGUCUGCUUGCUUUCAUAGCCUUUUCACACUCUCCAUUUCCUUCAACUCUUAGAAGUGAUGCUCACUAUAGCUUAAAGACAAUGCUCUCUGCUGAUGAAACAACUGCAAAUUACAGAUAGACAAUACAGGAACAUUUAAUAAGCUGAAUAGAAGGAUUUACAAUAUGCAUCUAUGCAUGGCUGUCUGAACACUUUUGCUUAGAUUUCAUAUUUUACUUUCUAUGGCUGGUCUGAUGGAAGUCUUAAGAGAAUAAUACCAUUUUGUAGCUUUUUGUGAUUACUAUUGUACUCUGUUAUAAACUGUAUAUUCUUCAUUUAGAUAUGCUAAACAGUUUUUUCUUUUUUAAUAAUGGGGAAAAUCUCCUUUUAUACAGUGUUCAGAAUGAAAAUUAAUAUUGUUCUCCUCUGGGUUAGUAAAAUGAAUUUCAAUAACUUCAACUGUGGAAGAGAAAAGAUGUUGAAAUAAAUGGAUAAGAUUUGGGCAUAGGUUCUAAAACUGUUUAGCUGGUAAUGAUUUACACUGAAGGUACUUUUAUUAUAAAAGAAAUUGGUGAGAUCAAGUAAGUUUAGUUACUUCUACUAAUUUUGUUAUAUUAAAAUGGGAAUUGCUCACAUAACGGUGGAAUUUAUUCUUACAUAUUAAAAAGUGUUUGAGAGACCAUCCUGGCUAACACGGUGAAACUCCGCCUCUACUAAAAAAUACAAAAAAUUAGCCGGGCAUGGUGGUGGGUGCCUGUAGUCCCAGCUACUCGGGAGGCUGAGGCAGGAGAAUGACGUGAACCCGGGAGGCGGAGCUUGCAGUGAGCCGAGAUCGCACCACCGCAUUCCAGCCUGGGCGACAGAGCGAGACU
rnacentral:lncRNA from 1 species